rnacentral:misc_RNA from 1 species
GAUGAAGAACGCAGCGAAAUGCGAUAAGUAAUGUGAAUUGCAGAAUUUAGUGAAUCAUCGAAUCUUUGAACGCACAUUGCGCCCGCCAGUAUUCUGGCGGGCAUGCCUGUUCGAGCGUCAUUUCAACCAUCAAGCCCCCGGCUUGUGUUGGGGACCUGCGGCUGCCGCAGGCCCUGAAAUGCAGUGGCGGGCUCGCUGUCACUCCGAGCGUAGUAGUUACAUCUCGCUCUGGGCGUGCUGCGGGUUCCGGCCGUUAAAAGCCUUAUUUACCCAAGGUUGACCUCGGAUCAGGUAGGAAGACCCGCUGAACUUAAGCAUAUCAAUAAGCGGAGGA